CACGUAGUUAGCCGGUGCUUCUUAUUCCGGUACCGUCAUCCACACAGGGUAUUAACCCAUGUGAUUUCUUCCCGGCUGAAAGAGCUUUACAACCCGAAGGCCUUCUUCACUCACGCGGCAUGGCUGGAUCAGGGUUGCCCCCAUUGUCCAAAAUUCCCCACUGCUGCCUCCCGUAGGAGUCUGGACCGUGUCUCAGUUCCAGUGUGGCGGAUCAUCCUCUCAGACCCGCUACAGAUCGUCGCCUUGGUGAGCCUUUACCUCACCAACUAGCUAAUCUGAUAUCGGCCGCUCAAUCAGCGCAAGGUCUUGCGAUCCCCUGCUUUCCUGCUCACAGAAUAUGCGGUAUUAGCGUAACUUUCGCUACGUUAUCCCCCACUGAAAGGUACGUUCCGAUACAUUACUCACCGUUCGCCACUCGCCACCAGGAUUGCUCCCGUGCUGCCGUUCGACUUGCAUGUGUAAGGCAUGCCGCCAGCGUUCAAU
rnacentral:rRNA from 1 species